rnacentral:lncRNA from 1 species
GUUUCAUCUAGAGCAAGAGGGAGGAAGUAGUUUGCUUUACAAAGUGCAUCCUGAAAACAAGAGAGAAAUUCCUGACAAGGCCUUGGACUUCCACUGAGGGCUGUGGCUCAGAGAAGUCUCUCCAGGCAUGAGGGUCCAAACUUUUGCCUUGCUAGGGCCACACUGAGUAAAGAGGAAUCGUUUGUGGACAAUGUCUGAUUGUUGCAGAGCGAUGACUUUGUGCCUGGGUGUGAGCUGGGCUGCUCAGCAGGGAUGAGCUGACACCAUGACGGCACAGGCUGCAGGUUAGACAUGUCUGCUCGAGUCCAUAGGGACAACAUCCUUCUGCCAGGAUCUGCACUGCCACUGAAAAGCAAAGACCAAAAUGAGGAUGGAGCUCCCUGCAUAGAGCAGAGAUCAUUUGACAUACAAAUGUCUGCAUUAAAAAAAAAGACCACACUUAGAGUGGUUUGCAUAGAUGCUGCAGAAGUUAUUUUGAUGCUGUCAUGUUUUAAGACAACAAUUUGCCUUUAGAUUUUAAAAUACGAUUUUCCAUGUUCGUGUAGGGCUCUCAUGAGUGAUUAAAAAUAGCUGCACAUUUGCAAAGUGGCAAUCCAUCUAUAAACUACAUUUGUGAGGCAUUUGCUAAGUGAACUGUUAUUCACAUUGACACCUCCUGCUUUUUCCAUGGAAUUAUGAUUCUUGAAAGUACAUGAUAUAUGAAGCUCAGUAACUCUAGCCUUCUGAGUUAUAUACAUAGCAAGUCUACAACCAGUUUGAUCAAAAAAGCAACCUGACAUAGAAUCAUAGAAUCACAGAAUCAUAGAAUCAUAGAAUGGCCUGGGUUGGAAGGGACCUCAAGGAUCAUCAAGCUCCAACUCCCCUUUCACAGGCAGGGCCACCAACCUCCUCAUCUAAUACUAGACCAGGCUGCCCAGGGCCCCAUCCAACCUGGCCUUGAACACCUCCAAGGACAGGGCAUCCACAACCUCUCUGGGCAGCCUGUUCCAGCACCUCACCACUCUCUCUGUAAAGAAUUUCCCCCUGACAUCCAACCUAAAUAGACAUGGUAAGCAAAAAGGACUACAUGAGCACAGAAUAAAAUGGGCAAAAAGGUGGCUAUAGACA